rnacentral:rRNA from 1 species
AUUGAACGCUGGCGGCAGGCUUAACACAUGCAAGUCGAACGCGUGGCGGACGGGUGAGUAAUGUCUGGGACACUGCCCGAUGGAGGGGUAUAACUACUGGAAACGGUAGCUAAUACCGCAUACCCUCGGAUGUGCCCAUAUGGUAUUAGCUAGUGGGGGGGGUAACGGCGCACCUAGGCGACGAUCCCUAGCUGGUCUGAGAGGAUGACCAGCCACACUGGAACUGAGACACGGUCCAGACUCCUACGGGAGGCAGCAGUGGGGAAUAUUGCACAAUGGGCGCAAGCCUGAUGCAGCCAUGCCGCGUGUAUGAAGAAGGCCUUCGGGUUGUAAAGUACUUUCAGCGAGGAGGCGUUACUCGCAGAAGAAGCACCGGCUAACUCCGUGCCAGCAGCCGCGGUAAUAC